UACGGAGGGUGCAAGCGUUAUCCGGAUUCACUGGGUUUAAAGGGUGCGUAGGCGGGCAGGUAAGUCCGUGGUGAAAUCUCCGAGCUUAACUCGGAAACUGCCAUGGAUACUAUUUGUCUUGAAUGUUGUGGAGGUGAGCGGAAUAUGUCAUGUAGCGGUGAAAUGCUCAGAUAUGACAUAGAACACCAAUUGCGAAGGCAGCUCACUACACAAAUAUUGACGCUGAGGCACGAAAGCGUGGGGAUCAAACAGG
rnacentral:rRNA from 1 species